rnacentral:rRNA from 1 species
UACGUAGGGUCCGAGCGUUGUCCGGAAUUAUUGGGCGUAAAGGGCUCGUAGGCGGCUUGUCGCGUCGUCCGUGAAAACCCACAGCUCAACUGUGGGCUUGCGGUCGAUACGGGCAGGCUAGAGUUCGGUAGGGGAGACUGGAAUUCCUGGUGUAGCGGUGAAAUGCGCAGAUAUCAGGAGGAACACCGGUGGCGAAGGCGGGUCUCUGGGCCGAUACUGACGCUGAGGAGCGAAAGCGUGGGGAGCGAACAGG